CCCUUCGAUACGCUGGGCGGCACGCGCGCUACAAUGAGCUUGUUAGAAUGUGGCUUGUCCGUUGUGGAUUAGCGAAUCAUUAAAUGAGUCUCUUGAAUGGGAUAGUUAUCUGCAAUUUCUCAACUUGAAAGAGGAAUCCCUUGUAAAUGCGUUUGAGAACAGCGCUUUGAAUACGUCCCUGUGGAAUGUACACACCGCCCGUCGCUACUACCGAUUGGAUGGCUUAGUGAGACCCUCGGACCGAUAGGCUGUCGCCGCGGCAACGUGGCGACCGGCCCGUCGGGAAGAAGGUCAAACUUGACUGUCUAGAGGAAGUAAAAGUCGUAACA
rnacentral:rRNA from 1 species